GAUGAACGCUGGCGGCGUGCCUAAUACAUGCAAGUCGAGCGAACAGACGAGGAGCUUGCUCCUCUGACGUUAGCGGCGGACGGGUGAGUAACACGUGGAUAACCUACCUUUAAGACUGGGAUAACUUCGGGAAACCGGAGCUAAUACCGCAUAAUAUCUUUAACCGCAUGGUUCAAUAGUGAAAGACGGUUUUGCUUUCACCUAUAGAUGGCUCCCCGCCGCUUUAGUUAGUUGGUAAGGUAACGGCCUCCCAAGGCAAGGAUGCUUAGCCGACCUGGGAGGGUGAUCGGCCACAUGGGACCUGAGACACGGUCCAGACUCCUACGGGAGGAAGAAGUAGGGAAUCUUCGGCAAUGGGCGAAAGCCUGACGGGGAAACGCCGCGUGAGUGAUGAAGGUCUUCGGAUCGUAAAACUCUGUUAUUAGGGAAGAACAAAUGUGUAAGUAACUAUGCACGUAUUGACGGUACCUAAUCAGAAAGCCACGGCUAACUACGUG
rnacentral:rRNA from 1 species